AAUAGAUACCCGGGUAGUCCACGCCGUAAACGUUGGGCGCUAGGUGUGGGGCUCAUUCCACGAGUUCCGUGCCGCAGCUAACGCAUUAAGCGCCCCGCCUGGGGAGUACGGCCGCAAGGCUAAAACUCAAAGGAAUUGACGGGGGCCCGCACAAGCGGCGGAGCAUGUUGCUUAAUUCGAUGCAACGCGAAGAACCUUACCUAGGCUUGACAUGCACGGAAAUCUCGCAGAGAUGCGGGGUCCGUAAGGGCCGUGCACAGGUGGUGCAUGGUUGUCGUCAGCUCGUGUCGUGAGAUGUUGGGUUAAGUCCCGCAACGAGUGCAACCCUCGUUCUAUGUUGCCAGCACAUAAUGGUGGGGACUCAUAGGAGACUGCCGGGGUCAACUCGGAGGAAGGUGGGGAUGACGUCAAAUCAUCAUGCCCCUUAUGUCUAGGGCUGCAAACAUGCUACAAUGGCCGGUACAAAGGGCUGCGAUACCGCGAGGUGGAGCGAAUCCCGAAAAAGCCGGUCUCAGUUCGGAUUGGGGU
rnacentral:rRNA from 1 species